GGUAAAGCGGUGGCGGGGUACGUGGUACGAAGAAGGGUGCGACCGUGCAUCGGAGGAAAUGCGCGGAAAGCGGACGGAGGGGGUAGGAUAAGGUAGUAUAGAAAGCGCCGGGCAAAGCCGAUGAAUUGCAUAUGAUACUGUCGAGAUAGAGACUUGGAGAGGGGGGUAGAAUCCCAGGGGUGGCGGUGAAAUGCGUAGAGAGCUGGAGAAAUACAGGUGACGGAAGCGGCUCCCUGAACAAAAACUGACGCUCAGAUGCGAAAGCGUGGGGAGCAAACAGGAUUAGAUACCCUUGGAGUC
rnacentral:rRNA from 1 species